rnacentral:rRNA from 1 species
AACGUAGGAGACAAACGUUAUCCGGAGUUACUGGGCGUAAAGGGCGUGCAGGCGGCUUGUUAAGUUUGGCGUGAAAGCUCCUGGCUAAACCGGGAGAGGUCGUCGGAGACUGGCAGGCUCGAGGGUGAUAGAGGCGGGUGGAAUUCCGGGUGUAGUGGUGAAAUGCGUAGAGAUCCGGAGGAACACCAAUGGCGAAGGCGACCCGCUGGGUCACACCUGACGCUGAGACGCGACAGCAUGGGGAGCGAACGGG